ACGUGGCGUGAUGAUAUCUAACCAUCAUUACUGCAGUUUUGUGAUGAAUUCAAACAUGCACUACCAUCUGAUCUCUG